rnacentral:rRNA from 1 species
AACGAACGCUGGCGGCAUGCCUAACACAUGCAAGUCGAACGAGACCUCCCGGCCUUGGUGCGCACGGCUGCGUAACGAGUGGGAACCUGCCCUUAGGUUCGGAACCACUCACUGAAGGGGAACUUCAUGCAGCUUAAUCUCAUCGCGCCUAAGAUCUCUCGCUUCAGGAUGGGGCCGGGUUGGAUUCGCCGGUUGGUAGGGGAAAAGCCUACCAAGGGGUCGUUGCAUGGCUGGUCUGAGAGGAUGAUAAUCCACACUGGAACUGCGACACGGCCCAGACUCCGACGGAGGGCAGCAGUGGGGAAUAUUGGACGAGGGGCGAAGGUCUGACCCAGCAAUGCGGGGGGAGUGAUGAAGGCCUUAGUAUUGUAAAGCUCUUUUAGCCGAGAUGAUAGUGACGGUACCGGGAGAAGAAGCACCGGCUAACUCCGUG